rnacentral:sRNA from 1 species
UAGUAAAUGAGGUGCAGUUUUGUUUAUGAGUAGGAUUUUUAGUAAAGAAGUUUUUCAUGUAGAUGAUGUAGCUGUAUAUCGCUUCUCUAGCCCUAUUUUUCUCUGAUUGCUUUAAGCAGUAACGACUCGCGUUUGUCUCUGUAUCGCCAAAAAAACGAUUUAAACACUCCAAAGGAAAUAUGCAAGAUGGCAAAGAUCAAAGGUCAAGUGAAGUGGUUCAACGAAUCUAAAGGUUUUGGUUUUAUCACUCCGGCCGAUGGCAGCAAAGAUGUAUUUGUUCACUUUUCCGCUAUUCAGGGUAACGGCUUUAAAACUCUAACCGAAGGCCAGAGCGUCGAAUUUGAAAUCCAAGAUGGCCAAAAAGGGCCUUCAGCAGUCAAUGUGACUGCCCUAUAAGCCAGGUUAUUACGGCAACAGUGAGUACUUU